rnacentral:rRNA from 1 species
UUCUUUGAAGUUAAAAAUCGUAACAAGGUUUCCGUAGGUGAACCUGCGGAAGGAUCAUUAUCGAGUUAAUGAAUGGGUUGUAGCUGGCCUUCCGAGGCAUGUGCACGCCCUUCUAAUCCACUCUACACCUGUGCACUUACUGCGGGUUCUCGGGUUGCUGAAGCAGAGUUUACUCUCUGUGGAUUUGACUUUGAGGCUCGUGUUUAUCACAAACACACAAGUAAUAGAAUGUUAAUACUGCGAAGUUAACGCAUUGAAAUACAACUUUCAGCAACGGAUCUCUUGGCUCUCGCAUCGAUGAAGAACGCAGCGAAAUGCGAUAAGUAAUGUGAAUUGCAGAAUUCAGUGAAUCAUCGAAUCUUUGAACGCACCUUGCGCUCCUUGGUAUUCCGAGGAGCAUGCCUGUUUGAGUGUCAUGAAAUCAUCAACCUUCCGGACUUUGUCUGUGCAAGGCUUGGAUUUGGAGGCUUGCUGGACUGGUAUUACAUACAUUGGUCCAGCUCCUCUUAAAAGCAUUAGCUUGGUUUCCUUGUGAAUCAGCUGUUGGUGUGAUAAUUGUCUACGCUACAACUGUGAAGCAUUUUGGACAGGCUUCUAAUGGUCUCAUUAGAGACAGCUAUAUUGACCUCUGACCUCAAAUCAGGUAGGACUACCCGCUGAACUUAAGCAUAUCAAAGGCGCGAAA